AUUACCGAGUUUACAACUCCCAAACCCCUGUGAACAUACCAAUUGUUGCCUCGGCGGAUCAGCCCGCUCCCGGUAAAACGGGACGGCCCGCCAGAGGACCCCUAAACUCUGUUUCUAUAUGUAACUUCUGAGUAAAACCAUAAAUAAAUCAAAACUUUCAACAACGGAUCUCUUGGUUCUGGCAUCGAUGAAGAACGCAGCAAAAUGCGAUAAGUAAUGUGAAUUGCAGAAUUCAGUGAAUCAUCGAAUCUUUGAACGCACAUUGCGCCCGCCAGUAUUCUGGCGGGCAUGCCUGUUCGAGCGUCAUUUCAACCCUCAAGCCCUCGGGUUUGGUGUUGGGGAUCGGCGAGCCCUUGCGGCAAGCCGGCCCCGAAAUCUAGUGGCGGUCUCGCUGCAGCUUCCAUUGCGUAGUAGUAAAACCCUCGCAACUGGUACGCGGCGCGGCCAAGCCGUUAAACCCCCAACUUCUGAAUGUUGACCUCGGAUCAGGUAGGAAUACCCGCUGAACUUAAGCAUAUCAAUAAGCGGAGGAAAAGAAACCAACAGGGAUUGCCCUAGUAACGGCGAGUGAAGCGGCAACAGCUCAAAUUUGAAAUCUGGCUCUCGGGCCCGAGUUGUAAUUUGUAGAGGAUACUUUUGAUGCGGUGCCUUCCGAGUUCCCUGGAACGGGACGCCAUAGAGGGUGAGAGCCCCGUCUGGUUGGAUGCCAAAUCUCUGUAAAGUUCCUUCGACGAGUCGAGUAGUUUGGGAAUGCUGCUCUAAAUGGGAGGUAUAUGUCUUCUAAAGCUAAAUACCGGCCAGAGACCGAUAGCGCACAAGUAGAGUGAUCGAAAGAUGAAAAGCACUUUGAAAAGAGAGUUAAAAAGUACGUGAAAUUGUUGAAAGGGAAGCGUUUAUGACCAGACUUGGGCUUGGUUAAUCAUCUGGGGUUCUCCCCAGUGCACUUUUCCAGUCCAGGCCAGCAUCAGUUUUCCCCGGGGGAUAAAGACUUCGGGAAUGUGGCUCUCUUCGGGGAGUGUUAUAGCCCGUUGUGUAAUACCCUGGGGGGG
rnacentral:rRNA from 1 species